CCUACGGGGGGCAGCAGUAGGGAAUAUUGGUCAAUGGAGGCAACUCUGAACCAGCCAUGCCGCGUGUAGGAAGAAGGCGUUCUGCGUUGUAAACUACUUUUGAUUGGGAACAAAUGACUCUUGCGAGAGUAGCUGAGUGUACCAAUAGAAUAAGCCACGGCUAACUACGUGCCAGCAGCCGCGGUAAUACGUAGGUGGCAAGCGUUGUCCGGAUUUAUUGGGUUUAAAGGGUGCGUAGGCGGCUUAAUAAGUCAGUGGUGAAAGCCGAUCGCUUAACGAUCGAACUGCCAUUGAUACUGCUAGGCUUGAGUAUAGUUGAGGUAGGCGGAAUUGACAGUGUAGCGGUGAAAUGCAUAGAUAUUGUCAAGAACACCAAUUGCGAAGGCAGCUUACUAAAGUAUAACUGACGCUGAGGCACGAAAGUGCGGGGAUCAAACAGGAUUAGAUACCCCUGUAGUC
rnacentral:rRNA from 1 species